UGAACCAUUCUAUUUUGUAUAAUAAAAAUGGUAAUGUGCUUUGCCCCGGAUUGUACACAAUAUUGUGAAAGAGGGAUAUGUAGAUUCUUUGUUGUUCCCAGGAUCUGGUUGAAAAGAAGACAUUGAUUUCAUUACUAAGGCACCCAGGAGAAGGGCAUGGCCCUAACCCUCAAAUAUGAGUAUUAUAGAAAAUUAACAGUUACCCAGGCAACCAUCCAAUGAGAAUCGUAGGAAAAUUAACAGUUCCAUAGGCAAUCAUCCAGUGACCAUAUUGUCUCUUGUUGGACAUACCAUCUGACGCUUUCUGAAGAAGAUCUUGGGGUGUAAAUAACCCAGGAUAGCAACGGAAGAAGCCAUCAGACCACAAGCUAAGUUCCUUAAUAAAAUCUAUAGCUUGCCUGUAAACAGACUAUUUUAUAUAAAAUAACUUCAUUAGUUCUAAAAUGUAGAUCUUGAAUUGUGACCAUAAUAAAAUGAGAAAAUAAAGUGUUUAUACCGAAA
rnacentral:lncRNA from 1 species